UUUGUGCAUCUAAUAGUAUUCUAUUUUAUGUGUCUACAGUUUAUUACGUGGUUACUACAUCCGAUUAUUACCUGUCAUUUACAUUAGGCGUAUCAAUAUUUGGUUUAAUGGUAAUAUUCUUCGUAGGUGGACAAACACUAACUGACAAGGUUAAAAUGUCUAACUCUAUUUAAACAUGUUUGUAUAACAUGAUACAGUUUGCAGAAGUCAAUAACGCCCUUUGUAUUUGUCAUUGGUGGAAGUGGAAUCAAAGUAAUAAAAGCAAAUAUCUCCUGUUCUUGCAUUUGACGCAGCAACCUGUCCGUUUGACAUUCAUGGGAUUAAUUGAUGUUAAUUAUCAACUUUCUUUAAAGAUGUUUAAAACUGUUUGGGCAUUUGCUUCUUGUUACAUCAAUAUCAAAAGAUGAGUUACUGAAGAUAAAUACAUAUAUUUUUAUACUAUAUAAAUAUUAGUAGUUAAAAAUGAAUAGAUAUUUGUUUAACAAAAAAGCCUUUGAUUUUUCU